AUGAAAAGAACUUUGAAAAGAGAGUUAAAGAGUACCUGAAAUUGCUGAAAGGGAAGCAAAGGAAACCAGUGUUAUCUUGAUUCAUCUUUCUUCUGUUGCUUGCAACAGGAGCGCUGUGAGUCAUGAUAGGUCAACCUGGGUUUGAGCCGGUGCAAACGCUUGCUACACUGACUUGGACCUACGCUGGCGAAAUGGUUUUCUUUACCCCGUCUUGAAACACGGACCAAGGAGUCUAACAUAUGUGCGAGUAUAGGAGUGGCAAACUCCCAUGCGUAAUGAAAGUAACAGUGGUUGGACCUUAUUGGGCACAAUCCGCCGGCCACAAUCCUUCGGGAGAAAGGUCUGAGUGUGAGCAUACAUGUUGGGACCCGAAAGAUGGUGAACUAUGCCUGAGUAGGGUGAAGCCAGGGGAAACUCUGGUGGAGGCUCGUAUGCGGUUCUGACGUGCAAAUCGAUCGUCAAACUUGGGUAUAGGGGCGAAAGACUAAUCGAACCAUCUAGUAGCUGGUUCCCUCCGAAAUUUCCCUCAGGAUAGCUGCAAUCGAAUGUUAUUUUUAUCA
rnacentral:rRNA from 1 species